GACGAACGCUGGCGGCGUGCUUAACACAUGCAAGUCGAACGGAAAGGCCCUGCUUUUGUGGGGUGCUCGAGUGGCGAACGGGUGAGUAACACGUGAGUAACCUGCCCUUGACUUUGGGAUAACUUCAGGAAACUGGGGCUAAUACCGGAUAGGAGCUCCUGCUGCAUGGUGGGGGUUGGAAAGUUUCGGCGGUUGGGGCUGGACUCGCGGCUUAUCAGCUUGUUGGUGGGGUAGUGGCUUACCAAGGCUUUGACGGGUAGCCGGCCUGAGAGGGUGACCGGCCACAUUGGGACUGAGAUACGGCCCAGACUGCUACGGGAGGCAGCAGGGGGGAAUAUUGCACAAUGGGCGGAAGCCUGAUGCAGCAACGCCGCGUGCGGGAUGACGGCCUUCGGGUUGUAAACCGCUUUCGCCUGUGACGAAGCGUGAGUGACGGUAAUGGGUAAAGAAGCACCGGCUAACUACGUG
rnacentral:rRNA from 1 species